ACGCACAAGCUACGCCUGAACACGAGGCAGCCUCAGGGUGGAACGGUGCGGAAAUGGUAUCCCAGAACGACAGCUUUCGACACCAGGAGCUCACUGGUGUCUCUGGGUUUCGCUGAGCGGUGACUGACCUGAGGCUGGCCCGAAAACCCCCUCGGGUAAGGGUUUUUGUGUGUGCCGGUUGCUGCAGGGUAACACCGCCGACUGGCCGUUGUGCCUUCCAACGGUGAGCACGCAGCACACUCGCUUGGCUCGACGGAAGCAGUUAGAGGUAUUUGUGUAGAGUUGGUGGAAGCGAAGUGAUAGCAAAGUGCUCUUGAGGCAGCCCUUCGCUGACAACUUGAGAACGUUGCUUGAAAGGUGACAGCUCAGGGAUGACAGGGCCGGGAAACGCCAGGAAACUCCGAGAUCGUGCAAGGUCUGUGCUUCUGGACUUGGAUGAAUAGUUGGUUUUAUUGGGUUUUGCUGUGCAUCCGUGUUCAAGUGGUUUUGUAAUGUUCCACGAAAGCACUCUAACGUGGAACUUGAAGGCUCCUGGUGCGUCGAGAACUGGGGGGCGCGCCCACUGAAAGAUUGCACCCCCAUUGCUUGCGGCAACGCUGUGGGGUUAUCUCGUAGCGCUCCGUACGGCCCAAUAUGUGGGCACGGGUGUUCGGGGCCCCCGCACUCCCCGUCUGCACGUAUCUUCAUCCGGUGCUGGUGCUCUGCUUCGUGUUGCGCUUGUGCAGCCUGGCAACGCAACAGGUCACGCUUCACGCAAGCGCAAGUCUGGAACUCCGACGGCUGACCAGGCUGCUCCGACGCAAAGGCGACCCCAGCGACCACGUGAUGAUCUCUAAAGCGCUCGCUGCAUUCACGUCAAUACCUGCUGGUGUAUGACGUAUCCCAAAGGUCGUCUCGUGCGUUCUCUAGGAAGAAUCCGAAGAGGAACGCGGACUUUUCGAGUGUCUUGGGGAAUGCGUUGUAUCCGCUCGAGCCGUACAACAGAAGCCUGGCCGCUCACUCCGGGCUGCGCUAUGGACGCGGGCUCUAGAUGAGAUAUCGUGAUGCACCAAUUUCGUUCAGCGUCUGGUGCAUAUGGCAGUGUCGAUAUUCGUUGUCGCAGCAUAGGAAUGGUGAAGCGAGUGAAAUCCUUCAUUGGGCGCGUAGACGCGCAGACAAACACACCGGUGAUAUUGCAUAGGAUGCUGCUCAAAGGUCGCUUGCUGGCUGGCCCACUUCACAUGUAGCGAUUCGAAUGCUGCUGAAGCGUUGCUUCCGGAGAAGCUCCAAACGCCGACGCAUUUGGCUGGGCAGCGCUGUGGGAAAUCAGCGGAAAAAAGUCGCGAAUAGAAUGUGCACUCCAGAACAGAAGCAGCCGUGCUACCAAGAAGAUGAACCUCUACGCAAUGCCGUGAGUGGUGUGAUUUCAUUUAUCGUGCAGAGUAACACUUGCUCGGCUCGCAGCAACGCGUAGAUGCCCCCGAACGCACAGCAUCGUGUGCUAGAACAGUCGGAGCACCAUCUAGAGAGAGGCAUUGCAUCUCGUAGAUGCGAAUGUGCUCAUGGGAUUCCCGGGAUGCCUGAGAAGGUUUUCGCACGAUAUUCCCGAUAAGCAUCCCCAAAAAAUCGCUCCAGAUGAUCCUCUUCAAAAGAAAUGCGCUGGCGGAAGAAAUUCCAGGCUAUACAUGGUAACGCAAUGCCGCAUACCACGUUCCGCAGGAGGAUCUGGGUGCCCACAAGCCAGAGCAGCCAACCAGUGUACGCUGGGUGUCUACAAACGGCGUAUAGGCCACGCGUCUGGAGCCGAUGACUCGCUCGCUGCUUCACCGCGAUCUCAUGCGUAAAGGCGUCACCCAGAG